CGUAGGGUGCGAGCGUUAAUCGGAAUUACUGGGCGUAAAGCGUGCGCAGGCGGUUUUGUAAGACAGGUGUAAAAUCCCCGGGCUUAACCUGGGAACUGCGCUUGUGACUGCAAGACUCGAGUACGGCAGAGGGGGGUAGAAUUCCACGUGUAGCAGUGAAAUGCGUAGAGAUGUGGAGGAAUACCGAUGGCGAAGGCAGCCCCCUGGGUCGAUACUGACGCUCAUGCACGAAAGCGUGGGGAGCAAACAGGAUUAGAUACCCUGGUAGUCCACGCCCUAAACGAUGCGAACUAGGUGUUGGGGAAGGAGACUUUCUUAGUACCGCAGCUAACGCGUGAAGUUCGCCGCCUGGGGAGUACGGUCGCAAGAUUA
rnacentral:rRNA from 1 species